GGCGGUGUACCCAAGUGGACAACGGGGCCUGACUGUAAAUCAGGUGGCAAAGCCUUCGUAGGUUCGAAUCCUACCGCCGCCA
rnacentral:tRNA from 1 species